rnacentral:rRNA from 1 species
UAACCAUGCAAGUCGAACGCUCACCUUCGGGUGGGAGUGGCAGACGGGUGAGUAACACGUGGGAACGUACCCUUUGGUUCGGGACAACUCUGGGAAACUGGAGCUAAUACCGGAUACGCCCUUUUGGGGAAAGGUUUACUGCCGAAGGAUCGGCCCGCGUCUGAUUAGCUAGUUGGUGGGGUAACGGCCUACCAAGGCGACGAUCAGUAGCUGGUCUGAGAGGAUGAUCAGCCACACUGGGACUGAGACACGGCCCAGACUCCUACGGGAGGCAGCAGUGGGGAAUAUUGGACAAUGGGCGCAAGCCUGAUCCAGCCAUGCCGCGUGAGUGAUGAAGGCCUUAGGGUUGUAAAGCUCUUUUAUCCGGGACGAUAAUGACGGUACCGGAGGAAUAAGCCCCGGCUAACUUCGUGCCAGCAGCCGCGGUAAUACGAAGGGGGCUAGCGUUGCUCGGAAUCACUGGGCGUAAAGGGCGCGUAGGCGGCGUUUUAAGUCGGGGGUGAAAGCCUGUGGCUCAACCACAGAAUGGCCUUCGAUACUGGGACGCUUGAGUCUGGUAGAGGUUGGUGGAACUGCGAGUGUAGAGGUGAAAUUCGUAGAUAU